AGAACGAACGCUGGCGGCAUGCCUAACACAUGCAAGUCGAACGAUCUCUUCGGAGAUAGUGGCGCACGGGUGCGUAACGCGUGGGAAUCUGCCCUUGGGUUCGGAAUAACGGUUGGAAACGACUGCUAAUACCGGAUGAUGACGUUAAGUCCAAAGAUUUAUCGCCCAGGGAUGACGCCCGCGUAGGAUUAGCUAGUUGGUGAGGUAAAGGCUCACCGAAGGCGACGAUCCUUAGCUGGUCUGAGAGGGAUGAUACGACGGCCACACGUGGGACUGAGACACGGCCCAGACUCCGUACGGAGGACACGCAGGUGGGGAAUAGUUGGACG
rnacentral:rRNA from 1 species